rnacentral:misc_RNA from 1 species
GCAGGGUGAUCCAGAGUGUCCCCAGUUGUCUGCCGGAGGCAGAGCCGUACUCCUCGCGAGCACGGACCAGCGGCGGUUGGAGUGGAGCCACAAGGCGGCCUGGACGGUACGUCGGGUCGGGCUUGCUCGCUCGACGACUUAUAGACUGGCUUCCCGGUGCUCGACUCCGACCGAGGAAGGAGGGCAGCUUUUGCCCAGUGUGGUGCACGCCGUAUGGCGGGGCCUCCCGCCGAGGGCGAGCCGCACGGUGUGGACUGCAUGCAGUGCUCACUGUGACGGCGGACCCGCGGUCGGUGAGCGUCACUUGUGCACCAGUGCUGCUGGUAUUGGGAC